AAGUCGUAACAAGGUUUCCGUAGGUGAACCUGCGGAAGGAUCAUCAGUAAAGUCUCGGUGCCCGUAAGGGCAGCGAGACGGCAUAUCCUGUCACCCUGUGCGUACGUAUCGUGGCGUGCCCUUUGGGCGCGCCGGCAUUCACACCACGUGUCUGAAACCAUCGUCACCUGACAACAACACAACUUUCAUCAGUGGAUCUCUGGGCUCUC
rnacentral:misc_RNA from 1 species